UUCCCAGGAAAUAGUGCAUUUG
rnacentral:siRNA from 1 species